rnacentral:rRNA from 1 species
GAUGAACGCUAGCUACAGGCUUAACACAUGCAAGUCGCAGGGUAACAUGAGGAAAGCUAGCUUUCCUUGAUGACGACUGGCGCACGGGUGAGUAACGCGUAUCCAACCUUCCCAUAACUACGGGAUAACCCGUUGAAAGACGGCCUAAUACCGUAUGAUAUCGUUUGCUGACAUCAAAUAACGAUUAAAGGUUUAGCGGUUAUGGAUGGGGAUGCGUCUGAUUAGCUUGUUGGCGGGGUAACGGCCCACCAAGGCGACGAUCAGUAGGGGUUCUGAGAGGAAGGUCCCCCACAUUGGAACUGAGACACGGUCCAAACUCCUACGGGAGGCAGCAGUGAGGAAUAUUGGUCAAUGGGCGAGAGCCUGAACCAGCCAAGUAGCGUGCAGGACGACGGCCCUAUGGGUUGUAAACUGCUUUUAUGUGGGGAUAAAGUGCGUGACGUGUCAUGCAUUGCAGGUACCACAUGAAUAAGGACCGGCUAAUUCCGUG